AAACCAUGAGUUGGGCAAUUUCUGAUCAUUAAUUUCAAUCUCUCCCAUGCUUUUGCAACAUGCUCAUGAUCUUGCUGUUUAAAAUCCAUUAUUUGAUUUCUAAGGGA
rfam:Hordeum vulgare subsp. vulgare, WGS project CAJW01000000 data, contig: morex_contig_1835138